rnacentral:rRNA from 1 species
GACGAACCGUGCGAACGUUAUUCGGAAUCACUGGGCUUAAAGCGCGCGUAGGCGGCUUUGCAAGUCGGGUGUGAAAUCCCCAGGCUUAACCUGGGGAACUGCAUUCGAGACUGCAUUGCUAGAGUAUGGGAGAGGGAAGUGGAAUUUCCGGUGUAGCGGUGAAAUGCGUAGAUAUCGGAAGGAACAUCAGUGGCGAAAGCGGCGUUCUGGACUGCAACUGACACUGAGGAACGAAAGCCAGGGGAGCAAACGGG